AACAAGAAGAGUCAUCCACCAUCCUACCCCUGUAAGUGACUGGCUGAUCUGCAGAAACACGGGCUGCUGUGACCACAGCUAUUAUGGGUACUUGGUGUUUCACAGACUUUGCAGGAGUAGGGCCAGUGACGAUCAUCCACUCAGAGGCUAGAGGUCCACAGUGUGGCUUCUAGGGGGGUCUCCUUCUGAAGGAAAGGAAAUACAUCAGGAGAAAAGAUCCCAUACAAAAUAAUAAAAAUAAUGUGUGAUGCUUAUUUAAAGAAAACUAAAGAGGAAAUGAGGAUUCUUAAAAGGGGCUCCUCCAGACUCUCCCUGGGUCAGAACAGGAUCUCUAGAUGCUUCCUGUGUUCAUCUUUGAGAAGCCUCAGCACAAGGGAAAAAGAAGAUACUGUUCAAUAAAUUCUAGUGAAGUGCUCGUUAGUACUGAAAUUGCUUAACAACUGUGCUCAACAUCUGGGCGUGGUGGCACACAUCUGUAAUCCCAGCACUCAGGAGGCAAAAGAAGGAGGAUUGCUAGGAGUUCCAGGCCAGCCUGGGCUACACAUGAGUUCAAGGUCAGCCUGAACUGCGUAGUGAAACCCUGCCUCGAAAAAAAUAACUGUGCUUGAGUGAACUGACAGCUGUAGUUUGUCUAUGUAUGUUUCUAUAUGUGAAUCUUAGACAUAUGUUCUACUAGGUUGCCUUAUACGUCAGUAGACACUCGUGAUGUUAGCUCAGAUGCUUGUGGUUCACAAAGCUUAACAGCAGACUAAUGUAAAUCAGCUGAUCAGAGGAAAGCUGUUUUAAAGAUCAGUGAUGCUUCCACCCAGCUGCUAGAUAAUCUACAGGACCCAGAUAAUGUCCAAAAUCAGUUUUAUAAAUGCAACAUUUACUACUGUCUGUGCGCAAUAACUUACGAGUUUUUCCUUGGUCAAAGAAAACAUGUAAGUCAUUUUUAAAUGUUAACUGUUACGAUGAGUCUUCUGAAACAACUGAGGUAGCUAAGUUGGGACUCUUUGGACUUGGGAAGCUGAGAACACACCUCCUCCUUGUAGCUGAAAGAGCAGCUGCCUCUACCAAAAUUUGUCCCAUUUCUCCACUGAUGAGUGAGUGGCUUCUCCACGUUGCCCAGGGUCUAACACCGCCAUGCCCAACAGUCAUGAAACAAAUUGUUCUGAUAAAUGAAACUUAGUUAUAAGUAAAAAGGUAAGCUCUCGGGGCCUAAAGCAAUAAGGAUUCCUGAGUACAAUGCUCUUGGUUAAAUUUAUAUCUACUGUCUUUGAUUAAAUAAGUAUUUUUUGUUAUUCUAUCAAUGUGAUAUAUUUGGGUAAUUUUUUUUUGUCUUUUUCAUUUUUAUCGGUACCAGGGAUUGAACUCACAACCGCCUGCUUGCAAGGCAGGUGCUUAUGCCGCUGAGCUAAAUCCCCAGCCCCGUUUUUGGGUAAUUGUAAAAGAUAAAAAGGGUAAGCUUUGGGUAAAGAUUGGGUAAUAAGUAAAAGAUAAUAAAUUACGUAAAAGUU